rnacentral:rRNA from 1 species
CUGCUGCCUUCCGUAGGAGUCUGGGCCGUGUCUCAGUCCCAGUGUGGGGGGGCCUUCCUCUCAGAACCCCUACGCAUCGUCGCCACGGUGGGCCGUCACCCCGCCGUCUAGCUAAUGCGCCGCAUGCCCAUCCGCCACCGGAUCGCUCCUUUGGCCACCGGAGGAUGCCCUCCGGUGGCGUCACGGGGUAUUAGGCCGCGUUUCCGCGGGUUAUCCCCCUGUGGCGGCCAGGUUGCAUACGUGUUACUCACCCGUGCGCCGGUCGCCGGG